GACGAGAAGCUUGCUUCUCUGAUGUUAGCGGCGGACGGGUGAGUAACACGUGGAUAACCUACCUAUAAGACUGGGAUAACUUCGGGAAACCGGAGCUAAUACCGGAUAAUAUUUUGAACCGCAUGGUUCAAAAGUGAAAGACGGUCUUGCUGUCACUUAUAGAUGGAUCCGCGCUGCAUUAGCUAGUUGGUAAGGUAACGGCUUACCAAGGCAACGAUGCAUAGCCGACCUGAGAGGGUGAUCGGCCACACUGGAACUGAGACACGGUCCAGACUCCUACGGGAGGCAGCAGUAGGGAAUCUUCCGCAAUGGGCGAAAGCCUGACGGAGCAACGCCGCGUGAGUGAUGAAGGUCUUCGGAUCGUAAAACUCUGUUAUUAGGGAAGAACAUAUGUGUAAGUAACUGUGCACAUCUUGACGGUACCUAAUCAGAAAGCCACGGCUAACUACGUGCCAGCAGCCGCGGUAAUACGUAGGUGGCAAGCGUUAUCCGGAAUUAUUGGGCGUAAAGCGCGCGUAGGCGGUUUUUUAAGUCUGAUGUGAAAGCCCACGGCUCAACCGUGGAGGGUCAUUGGAAACUGGAAAACUUGAGUGCAGAAGAGGAAAGUGGAAUUCCAUGUGUAGCGGUGAAAUGCGCAGAGAUAUGGAGGAACACCAGUGGCGAAGGCGACUUUCUGGUCUGUAACUGACGCUGAUGUGCGAAAGCGUGGGGAUCAAACAGGAUUAGAUACCCUGGUAGUCCACGCCGUAAACGAUGAGUGCUAAGUGUUAGGGGGUUUCCGCCCCUUAGUGCUGCAGCUAACGCAUUAAGCACUCCGCCUGGGGAGUACGACCGCAAGGUUGAAACUCAAAGGAAUUGACGGGGACCCGCACAAGCGUGGAGCAUGUGGUUUAAUUCGAAGCAACGCGAAGAACCUUACCAAAUCUUGACAUCCUUUGACAACUCUAGAGAUAGAGCCUUCUUCGGGGGACAAAGUGACAGGUGGUGCAUGGUUGUCGUCAGCUCGUGUCGUGAGAUGUUGGGUUAAGUCCCGCAACGAGCGCAACCCUUAAGCUUAGUUGCCAUCAUUAAGUUGGGCACUCUAAGUUGACUGCCGGUGACAAACCGGAGGAAGGUGGGGAUGACGUCAAAUCAUCAUGCCCCUUAUGAUUUGGGCUACACACGUGCUACAAUGGACAAUACAAAGGGCAGCGAAACCGCGAGGUCAAGCAAAUCCCAUAAAGUUGUUCUCAGUUCGGAUUGUAGUCUGCAACUCGACUACAUGAAGCUGGAAUCGCUAGUAAUCGUAGAUCAGCAUGCUACGGUGAAUACGUUCCCGGGUCUUGUACACACCGCCCGUCACACCACGAAGAGUUUGUAACACCCGAAGCCGGUGGAGUAACCUUUUAGGAGCUAGCCGUCGAAGGUGGGAC
rnacentral:rRNA from 1 species